rnacentral:rRNA from 1 species
UACGUAGGAUGCAAGCGUUAAUCGGAAUUACUGGGCGUAAAGCGUGCGCAGGCGGUUUUGUAAGACAGGCGUGAAAUCCCCGGGCUCAACCUGGGAAUGGCGCUUGUGACUGCAAAGCUGGAGUGCGGCAGAGGGGGAUGGAAUUCCGCGUGUAGCAGUGAAAUGCGUAGAGAUGUGGAGGAAUACCGAUGGCGAAGGCAGCCCCCUGGGCUAACACUGACGCUCAUGCGCGAAAGCGUGGGGAGCAAACAGGAUUAGAACU